AAGCUGUCCUCUGACUUCCUCAUAUGUGCGGUGGCGACACACUAAAUAAAUACUGGUGAAAAAAAAUCUAAAAAGAACCCUAUAGCAACAAACCAGUUGGGAGAUAAAUGAUAGUGAAUGUGGAAAGCACCUACAGCCUGCUACAAUCUCCCGAGCAGAUCAAGAAAAGGGCCUCUCUCUUUCGCCUCUCCAGUCCCAAUCUCAUUCUGGACCAUGCCUGUUCCGGAGAAGGGAAUGCUGGGAGUGAUCUUGCCAGUUCAGCAAGCCGACAGGAUCUCAGGCCAUGCGGUCAGAAAAGGCAACAGUGAAUCUCUGAAGCCCCGAAUCACAUAAACCUUUCUUCUUUACAAAUGGAUUAUUCCAGGUAUUUUACCACAACAAUGGAAAGCUAACCCAUAGGUCUAAGAGCUUUAUAAAGACUAACUGAACACUAAUUCCAACAACACCAAGAAAACCAACAAGAACCACAUAAGCAAGAUAUGUCACAGGGCUGGGAAACUGCAGAGCUGGGAUUCUGGCCACACAGUUCGGAAGAGAGGCGUGCACCGUUGUGCAGCAUUUCGCUAAAGCAUGCAACCCUGCUCCCCAUUUCUGAACAGUCACACCAGCUGGUUUAACAGGGCUGGUUUUAGCCGUAUAAACCUGAGGACGAGAGCUCCACCUUGUGGUGGAAGGUGGAAUCACAUGGCUCAGUUUCCCUGAGCCCCCCUCAGCCUGGUUAUCACACCACCCCGGAAGCAGUGGCUUGAGGUCUAGCUCAGUUGGCAGGUACUAGUUCAGCAUACACGAAAACCUGGUUUUGACGACCAGUUUCCCAAUUACUGCGGGUCUAUGAUGCUUGCUGGUUAUCCUAAGCACUUGGAAAUUGGAGGCCAAAUCAGGAGUUCAAAGUCACUCUCAGCUUCACAGAGUUCUAGGUUAGUCUAGGCUAUGUGGUAUUUUGGCACAAACAAACAGGCAGGGAGGGGUAAGGGUAAAUUAUACAUUUUAUUCCCAAUGUUCAAAUUUUAACUUG
rnacentral:lncRNA from 1 species